CCCCCCCCGCAACCCCUCGCCACCUCCUGACCCCCCUGCUACCCAGAGCGGGCGCGCUAGGGAGAAGGGAGAUGGUGCAGAAAUCCCACAGCCCCGACUUUAUGUCGCGAGAGAAGGAACCAUCACGGCCCAGCGUUGACCUUUGCUAUGACAAGCUAACCUGACCCCAGAGAGCCUGCGCCAUCCUCUCCUCCCCUUUCCCUCCCCAUCCCUUGCCACCCAGGCCCUCUUGCUGACUACAUCCUACUCGAGGAAAAACAAGUCCCCAGGCGGUGCUGUCUGUGUGCUGAGUUCUAUGGCCUGAACAUCAUUUCCAUCAUGGAGUCAGUUGUACUAAGGUCUGAGGACCUAUUACACUGACCUCUAAGGACCAUCAAGCAUGCAAGUAGUACAUAUACAUAUAUGUAGGCAAAACACUCAAAAAAUUUUAAUUAAAAUAAUUUUUGAAGAAAA